AGGUCAAUAGCUCAAUUGGUAGAGUGUCGGUCUCCAAAACCGAAGGUUGGGGGUUCGAAGCCCUCUUGACCUGCCA
rnacentral:tRNA from 1 species